CAAAACAAUAAUUUGAUACAUAUGCAUAUACAGUGUUCAAAUGUUAUCCACAAAUAGCAUCAAGAUGAACACAUAUUGCACAACAGUGACGAUAAGUUAAAAAUCAUACAUAUAUACUCACAUAGGUUCACAAACAGAACAAUAAGCACAGUAUGACCAUCCAGAACACACAAGUGACAUAAGGACCACUAUUUCUGGUCUGGAAGAGUUCACACACAAGUUACAUCCAUGAGCACAAAGUUUCUAAUCCAAAAGACUUGAAGCACCAAAUGGUCCAAAACACACAUAAGAUUCAUGAUACAAUGGAAGUAGGCUGAUCCAAAAUACGGCAAACAGCCAAAUGUUCCAUGACACUCCAAGUCCUCACAUCCAAGCGCUAGGUGGCUACGUACCUGAAAAUAUUCCAUACAAAUUUGUCAAGAAAGUGCAAUCAACCCAGAAGUCGUUCAAAACUCAUAUGAAGAUUGGCAGGCUAGAUAGGCACAUGCUAAGUUGUACUUGAUUGUUUAUGUGAAUACUCACAGAAACAGAAAGAUACAACUACAAACUAGUCCCCGAUGGCAUUGAAUUAAUGUGCUGAUUGUUGUGUAUAUUAAUGUUUCUUUUCCAUGCUUAUUUCAUUGGAAGUUGCAGACUGGAAGGAAAUGAACUAUGAUAGUUUAAGAUAAAAAAGUACACAUAUACAUGUACAUUAGCAAGACUGGUAACUUGCAUGUAAACUGAACCAAUGGAACUAAAGGAUUUGGUCCUGAACACAAAUAGCAUGACAAGCCAUUGAGAAGUUAAUGAAUUCAUCCGGUGCACAUAUACACAAGUUUUAGCACAGACUAUUUACUUAAUAGCAGGACAUCAAAAAUCACUUAAAUGCAUCAAUGGAGAAACCUAGCAGAUCAGAGGAUGGGAGAACACUGAAGCCAACUAAUAUGAGGCAACCCAUGCCACUUACAUUUGACUGGAUUAGAAUCAGACCCAUGUUGUCUCAGUAAAUUAUGAGAAUAAUCAAUUAAAAUACAACUUUUGCAGUGUAGUUUCAGAAAUAAAACACAUAUACACAAGUUUGUCAAGUAUGUGUCGAAGUUCAAAAACAGUAAACUUGAUGUAUGUAGUAUGUUGUAGUACCUCUAUGCACUGGCGGAGGCUCAUGGAGGACAAACAGGGGUGUGACACCACCUUCUCUGUCAUCCAUUUAUCAUGUCGUGCUGUGCCCCACUAAGCAUCAGCCAACGGCUUGCUGCUGCAUCUGCACGCCACGAAUGUUAAUGCCUGUCAUAUUGUGCGCCACCGAUAAUCACCAGCGGCUUGUUGUUGCAUCUGCAUGCCAGCACUGCUACUGCCCUUCUCGUCAUCUCAUGUUCCUGCCAUAUUGUGCGCCACCGAUCAUCACCAGCGGCUUGCUGAUGCAUCUGCACACCAGCACUAUUGUUGCCCUUCUCGUCAUCUAAUGCUCCAGCCGUAUUGUGCGCCACAAAUCAUCACUGGUGGCUUGCUGCUGCAUCUGCGUGCCAUGUAAAAAGAUGUGAUCCAUGUGAGCUUAAUUCAUAUGUUACGACUCGGUCAGCCAAGCUAUUAUUGUAUCAAUUAAAGAAACUUGAUUCAGAUUAGAAGUACUUAAGCCGCACCUUACUUAAGCCGCACCUGUUUUCAAUUUAUCACACAUAUUUUUCUUUUAGUUUGAAUUUAGCGCCACUUGGCUGCUUGUCACGCUCCACCACUGCCACUAUG
rnacentral:lncRNA from 1 species